rnacentral:lncRNA from 1 species
AUGGUUUUUGGGUCAACAAAAGUUGGCGAGUGAACAUUAUUGUUUUUGGAAAAAUAAUAUGUUUAAUUUGAUUUAUUGUGAAAACGUGCGUUAACCAAUGUAAGUAAAUAUGUUGUAUGUCAUAUUUCAUAACUCAUAACAGAAUCUCAAACAAUAAACAAACCAACUAAAAUGAUUCAAUAAAUGCACGCACGUUGCACGGUAUUAUGGUGUGCCAAUGAAUGAAUGUAUGUUGCACGGUAUUAUGGUGUGCUGCAAGGUCUAAGCUCAAUCAAACGGAGCUGACCUCGUAUGGGUGGCAACGUCAAGUUCCACCCAUAGGUAAUGGGGAACCGACGAGCCUAUAAUGAUGUGAUGUCCAAAAUGAAUGAAAUGCACCAACAUGAUAAACAGUCAAACUACACAUAACAUAGAUACUCCACAUAAUGGUAAUUGCACGGA